rnacentral:rRNA from 1 species
UACGGAGGGUGCAAGCGUUAUCCGGAUUCACUGGGUUUAAAGGGUGCGUAGGCGGACAGGUAAGUCAGGGGUGAAAUCUCCGAGCUUAACUUGGAAACUGCCGUUGAUACUAUCUGCCUUGAAUAUUGUGGAGGUGAGCGGAAUAUGCCAUGUAGCGGUGAAAUGCUUAGAUAUGACAUAGAACACCAAUUGCGAAGGCAGCUCGCUAGACAUAUAUUGACUCUGAGGCACGAAAGCGUGGGGAUCAAACAGG